rnacentral:rRNA from 1 species
UACGGAGGGUGCGAGCGUUAUCCGGAAUUACUGGGUUUAAAGGGUGCGUAGGCGGCUAUGUAAGUCAGGAGUGAAAGUUUGCGGCUCAACCGUAAAAUUGCUUUUGAUACUGCAUGGCUGGAAUUAGGAUGAGGUCAGCGGAAUGUGGCAUGUAGCGGUGAAAUGCAUAGAUAUGCCAUAGAACACCAAUUGCGAAGGCAGCUGGCUAGACCUGGAUUGACGCUGAGGCACGAAAGCGUGGGGAGCGAACAGGAUUAGAUACCCUGGUAGUCCACGCCCUAAACGAUGCUUACUCGACGUAUGAAGCUUGUCUUUGUGCGUCCAAGGGAAACCGUUAAGUAAGCCACCUGGGGAGUACGACCGCAAGGUUGAA